rnacentral:rRNA from 1 species
AUUGAACGCUAGCGGGAUGCUUUACACAUGCAAGUCGAACGGCAGCGCGGACUUCGGUCUGGCGGCGAGUGGCGAACGGGUGAGUAAUGUAUCGGAACGUGCCCAGUAGCGGGGGAUAACUACGCGAAAGCGUAGCUAAUACCGCAUACGCCCUACGGGGGAAAGCAGGGGAUCGUAAGACCUUGCACUAUUGGAGCGGCCGAUAUCGGAUUAGCUAGUUGGUGAGGUAACGGCUCACCAAGGCGACGAUCCGUAGCUGGUUUGAGAGGACGACCAGCCACACUGGGACUGAGACACGGCCCAGACUCCUACAGGAGGCAGCAGUGGGGAAUUUUGGACAAUGGGGGCAACCCUGAUCCAGCCAUCCCGCGUGUGCGAUGAAGGCCUUCGGGUUGUAAAGCACUUUUGGCAGGAAAGAAACGUCGCGGGCUAAUACCCCGUGGAACUGACGGUACCUGCAGAAUAAGCACCGGCUAACUACGUG